rnacentral:rRNA from 1 species
ACGGAAGGCAGCAGUGGGGGAUAUUGCACAAUGGGGGAAACCCUGAUGCAGCGACGCCGCGUGAGCGAAGAAGUAUUUCGGUAUGUAAAGCUCUAUCAGCAGGGAAGAAAAUGACGGUACCUGACUAAGAAGCUCCGGCUAAAUACGUGCCAGCAGCCGCGGUAGUACGUAUGGAGCAAGCGUUAUCCGGAUUUACUGGGUGUAAAGGGAGCGUAGACGGUUUGCCAAGUCUGAUGUGAAAGGUGGGGGCUCAACCCCCAAACUGCAUUGGAAACUGGUAGACUAGAGUGUCGGAGAGGUAAGUGGAAUUCCUAGUGUAGCGGUGAAAUGCGUAGAUAUUAGGAGGAACACCAGUGGCGAAGGCGGCUUACUGGACGAUAACUGACGUUGAGGCUCGAAAGCGUGGGGAGCAAACAGGAUUAGAUACCCUGGUA